AGCAUAUCAAUAAGCGGAGGAAAAGAAAGCAACAGCGAUAGCCUCAGUAACGGCGAGUGAAGCGGCUACAGCUCAAAUUUGAAAUCUGGCUCCCUUUGGGCGUCCGAGUUGUAAUUUGCAGAGGAUGCUUUGGCAUUGGCGGCGGUCUAAGUUCCUUGGAACAGGACAUCGCAGAGGGUGAGAAUCCCGUACGUGGGCGCCUGCCUUUGCCGUGUAAAGCUCCUUCGACGAGUCGAGUUGUUUGGGAAUGCAGCUCUAAAUGGGAGGUAAAUUUCUCCUAAAGCUAAAUACCGGCCAGAGACCGAUAGCGCACAAGUAGAGUGAUCGAAAGAUGAAAAGUACUUUGGAAAGAGAGUCAAAUAGCACGUGAAAUUGUUGAAAGGGAAGCGCUUGCAGCCAGACUUGCCCGCAGUUGCUCACCUAGGCUUUUGCCUGGGGCACUCUUCUGCGGGCAGGCCAGCAUCAGUUUGGGCGGUCGGAUAAAGGUCUCUGUCAUGUACCACCCCUCGGGGUGGCCUUAUAGGGGAGACGCAAUGCGACCAGCCCGGACUGAGGUCCGCGCAUCUGCUAGGAUGCUGGCGUAAUGGCUGUAAGCGGCCCGUCUUGAAACACGGACCAAGGAGUCUAACAUCUAUGCGAGUGUUUGGGUGUCAAGCCCGGGCGCGCAAUGAAAGUGAACGGAGGUGGGAACCUUUUCGGGGUGCACCAUCGACCGAUCCUGAUGUCUUCGGAUGGAUUUGAGUAAGAGCAUAGCUGUUGGGACCCGAAAGAUGGUGAACUAUGCUUGAAUAGGGGUGAAGCCAGAGGAAACUCUAGGUGGAGGCUCGCAGUCGGUUCUGACGUGCAAAUCGAAUCGUCAAAUUUGGAGCAUAAGGGGCCAAAAGACUAAUCCGAACCCUCCUCGUAACCGGGUUCCUUGCCCAAAGUUUCCCUCCAGGAUACCCAGGAAACUUUUUUCCAGUUUUUAUUAAGGGAAAAGCGAAAUGAUUAAAAGGCCCUGGGGGGUUAGAACCAACC
rnacentral:rRNA from 1 species